CCUACGGGUGGCAGCAGUGGGGAAUAUUGGACAAUGGGCGAAAGCCUGAUCCAGCCAUGCCGCGUGUGUGAAGAAGGCCUUCGGGUUGUAAAACACUUUCAGUGGGGAAGAAAGCCUUGGGGCUAAUACCCUCGAGGAAGGACAUCACCCACAGAAGAAGCACCGGCUAACUCCGUGCCAGCAGCCGCGGUAAUACGGAGGGUGCGAGCGUUAAUCGGAAUUACUGGGCGGAAAGCGCGCGUAGGCGGUCUGAUAAGCCGGUUGUGAAAGCCCCGGGCUCAACCUGGGAACGGCAUCCGGAACUGUCAGGCUAGAGUGCAGGAGAGGAAGGUAGAAUUCCCGGUGUAGCGGUGAAAUGCGUAGAGAUCGGGAGGAAUACCAGUGGCGAAGGCGGCCUUCUGGACUGACACUGACGCUGAGGUGCGAAAGCGUGGGUAGCAAACAGGAUUAGAUACCCUUGUAGUC
rnacentral:rRNA from 1 species